UGGGGAAUUUUGGACAAUGGGCGCAAGCCUGAUCCAGCAAUGCCGCGUGCAGGAUGAAGGCCUUCGGGUUGUAAACUGCUUUUGUACGGAGCGAAAAGGUCUGCCCUAAUACGGUGGGCUCAUGACGGUACCGUAAGAAUAAGCACCGGCUAACUACGUGCCAGCAGCCGCGGUAAUACGUAGGGUGCGAGCGUUAAUCGGAAUUACUGGGCGUAAAGCGUGCGCAGGCGGUUAUGCAAGACAGAGGUGAAAUCCCCGGGCUUAACCUGGGACCUGCAUUUGUGACUGUAUAGCUAGAGUACGGUAGAGGGGGAUGGAAUUCCGCGUGUAGCAGUGAAAUGCGUAGAUAUGCGGAGGAACACCGAUGGCGAAGGCAAUCCCCUGGACCUGUACUGACGCUCAUGCACGAAAGCGUGAGGAGCAAACA
rnacentral:rRNA from 1 species